GGUGGUUCUCGGGUGAUGCACCCCAGAAUCAAGCUCUCUCCUCUCUGGUACCAGGUGCGUUACCUGAGAACUGCU
rfam:Myotis davidii contig132149, whole genome shotgun sequence.